GAUGAACGCUGACAGAAUGCUUAACACAUGCAAGUCUACUUGAUUCUACUUCGGUAGUUGAUGGUGGCGGACGGGUGAGUAACGCGUAAAGAAUCUGCCCUUUAGUUUGGGAUAACCUUUGGAAACGAAGGCUAAUACCGGAUAUUAUGGAGACGUCGCAUGACGACUCCAUGAAAGCUAUAUGCGCUAGAGGAGGACUUUGCGUCCCAUUAGUUAGUUGGUGAGGUAAUGGCUCCCCAAGACCGCGAUGGGUAGCCGGCCUGAGAGGGUGAUCGGCCACAAGGGAACUGAGACACGGUCCUUACUCCUACGGGAGGCAGCAGUGGGGAAUAUUGGACAAUGGGCCACAAGCCUGAUCCAGCAAUUCUGUGUGCGCGAUGAAGGUCUUCGGAUUGUAAAGUGCUUUCAGUAGGGAAGAAAAAAUGACGGUACCUACAGAAGAAGCGACGGCUAAAUAUGUGCCAGCAGCCGCAGUAA
rnacentral:rRNA from 1 species